GCAUAACGCGAAGAACCUUACCAGGCCUUGACAUGCAGAGAACUUUCCAGAGAUGGAUUGGUGCCUUCGGGAACUCUGACACAGGUGCUGCAUGGCUGUCGUCAGCUCGUGUCGUGAGAUGUUGGGUUAAGUUCCGCAACGAGCGCAACCUUGUCCUUAGUUGCCAGCACGUAAUGGUGGGAACGUCUAAGGAGACCGCCGGCGACAAGCCGGAGGAAGGUGGGGAUGACGUCAAGUCAGUCAUGGCCCUUACGGCCACGGGCUACACACGUACUACAAUGGUGGGGACAGAGGGCUGCGAUACCGCGAGGUGGAGCCAAUCCCAGAAACCCCAUCCCAGUCCGGAUUGGAGUCUGCAACUCGACUCCGAUGAAGUCGGAAUCGCUAGUAAUCGCAGAUCAGCAUUGCUGCGGUGAAUACGCUCCCCGGGGUCUUGUAC
rnacentral:rRNA from 1 species